CCCCCCCCCCCACACACACACAAACAAAGAGGCGUUAGGCUGAGACGCUGAAAGUCCGGAUUUAAAGUGCAGAAAAUUAAGCCAUUGAAUCUGCCUGUCCAUGACGUACAAAGACACACUAUGAGCCAGUAUGAUCCGACCAGACCUUACAUCAGCAUUGAGGAGUUGUCGGAGAAGAAAGAGGCUGAUUGAAGCGGGACAGAUGACAUGGAUCCAUCCUUCCACAGCCAGGAGCGCACCGACCUGUGUCCCACACUUCAUAUAAGACUGGAAGCUACACUGAUCUCACAGCUACACACCACAGACGUCUACACACUGGAGAAGAUUCAGACAGAGUCCCACAAAGAAGUCAUGACCCAGAGGCUGCAGAGAAACAUUUCAAGCCUCAUCUGAGUUUUUGUACAAUAUUUUUGCUGUAUGUAAAUAAAGCUUUCACUCCACAUAUACCUUGUU